GACCUCGCGAGAGCAAGCGGACCUCAUAAAGUGCGUCGUAGUCCGGAUUGGAGUCUGCAACUCGACUCCAUGAAGUCGGAAUCGCUAGUAAUCGUGGAUCAGAAUGCCACGGUGAAUACGUUCCCGGGCCUUGUACACACCGCCCGUCACACCAUGGGAGUGGGUUGCAAAAGAAGUAGGUAGCUUAACCUUCGGGAAGGCGCUUACCACUUUGUGAUUCAUGACUGGGGUGAAGUCGUAACAAGGUAACCGUAGGGGAACCUGCGGUUGGAUCACCUCCUUACCUUAAAGAAGC
rnacentral:rRNA from 1 species